AUCCUCUCGGGAUCGUACCUGGAGAGUUUCCAGGAUGCUACCAGUCUCGACUUUGGGAGGGAGAGUCAAGCAGAGGCCUGUCCAUCCCAUUCCUAUCUUGGUCAGUGGCUAGUGAGUGGAAGGCAAUCCGCUACAAGU